GAUGAACGCUGGCGGCGUGCCUAAUACAUGCAAGUCGAGCGAACAGACGAGGAGCUUGCUCCUCUGACGUUAGCGGCGGACGGGUGAGUAACACGUGGAUAACCUACCUAUAAGACUGGGAUAACUUCGGGAAACCGGAGCUAAUACCGGAUAAUAUAUUGAACCGCAUGGUUCAAUAGUUAAAGACGGUUUUGCUGUCACUUAUAGAUGGAUCCGCGCCGCAUUAGCUAGUUGGUAAGGUAACGGCUUACCAAGGCGACGAUGCGUAGCCGACCUGAGAGGAUGAUCAGCCACACUGGAACUGAGACACGGUCCAGACUCCUACGGGAGGCAGCAGUAGGGAAUCUUCCGCAAUGGGCGAAAGCCUGACGGAGCAACGCCGCGUGAGUGAUGAAGGUCUUCGGGUCGUAAAACUCUGUUAUUAGGGAAGAACAAAUGUGUAAGUAACUAUGCACGUCUUGACGGUACCUAAUCAGAAAGCCACGGCUAACUACGUG
rnacentral:rRNA from 1 species